rnacentral:rRNA from 1 species
GAUUAUGGCUCAGGAUGAACGCUGGCGGCGUGCUUAACACAUGCAAGUCGAACGAGGCUCAUCUGUGGAAGUUUUCGGAUGGAAACGGAUGUGACCGAGUGGCGGACGGGUGAGUAACGCGUGGGGAACCUGCCCCAUUCCGGGGGAUACCAGUUGGAAACGACUGUUAAUACCGCAUAAGCGCACGGGAAGGCAUCUUCCAGUGUGAAAAACUGAGGUGGAAUGGGAUGGCCCCGCGUCUGAUUAGCCAGUUGGCAGGGUAACGGCCUACCAAAGCGACGAUCAGUAGCCGGCCUGAGAGGGCGACCGGCCACAUUGGGACUGAGACACGGCCCAAACUCCUACGGGAGGCAGCAGUGGGGAAUAUUGCACAAUGGGGGGAACCCUGAUGCAAGCGACGCCGCGUGGGUGAGGAAGUAUUUCGGUAUGUAAAGCUCUAUCAGCAGGGAAGAAGAUGACGGUACCUGCACAAGAAGCCCCGGCUAACUACGUGCCAGCAGCGGC